GCUUUGUGGGAGCAAGAAAAUUUUUAAUUUUUAAGUACAACUUCCGUUACACUUACUUUGUUUCGACUUACUCCAAAAUGGAGUUGACGGGCAAUGAGAGCAAAGUGAAAUUUUUUUUUCUUUUUAGUUAAAAGUACUAUCUAAUCCUAAAUUUUUUUUAAAAAUACUAUUGUCUUUCAAAUUUUAUAGCGAAAGUAAAGCAUUCAGGCCUGUUUAUUACCAACUUAUUUGUCUAAUUUGGUUAAACGGCAAUACACUGUUUUUUAGCUUUUGCAAAGAAGGUGGGUUAUCAGAUUUCAAAAGCCUCAGAUAAAAUUCGACUUCCGCCUGGUUUUUUAAGUUUUAAAAAUUAAUUUUAAUUUUUUUUUAUACUGCUCAAUUUUUUAUAUUAAUUUAUAAUUUUCUUGAUUACGGCGGUAUCUAAUCGCCUUUAAAUGUCCAAAGAUUUAAUUUUAUUUCUCAAAAUGAGUAUAUGAAUAAAUUUUAUCUAUAUACUAUUUCUUUAAUUUUUUUAUCCCUAAUAUAUUUUUAUUUUGGAAUUUUAGGGACCGUCUAGCCGCGGUUGCUGGCACGGUGAUUACCCCCUUUAAUACUUCUUAUAUAAAUUGUGAAAUUCUCUGCACUGGAGAUAAAUUAUAUUUUUUUUAAUUUCUGUAAUUUAUUGUCCCAUGAGCUUACUCUAUAAUUUUUAGAAUUUUAAAUCCGAAACAAAAAAUU
rnacentral:rRNA from 1 species